rnacentral:rRNA from 1 species
AUUGAACGCUGGCGGCAUGCCUUACACAUGCAAGUCGAACGGCAGCACGGGAGUAAUCCUGGUGGCGAGUGGCGAACGGGUGAGUAAUAUAUCGGAAAGUGCCCAGUCGUGGGGGAUAACGCAGCGAAAGCUGUGCUAAUACCGCUUACGACCUGAGGGUGAAAGCGGGGGACCGUAAGGCGUCGCGCGAUUGGAGCGGCAGAUAUCAGAUUAGCUAGUUGGUGGGGGAAAAGCGCACCAAGGCGACGAGCGGUAGCUGGUCUGAGAGGACGACCAGCCACACUGGGACUGAGACACGGCCCAGACUCCUACGGGAGGCAGCAGUGGGGAAUUUUGGACAAUGGACGCAAGUCUGAUCCAGCCAUGCCGCGUGCGGGAAGAAGGCCUUCGGGUUGUAAACCGCUUUUGUCAGGGAAGAAACGAGUUUCUCUAAUACAGAGACUUAAUGACGGUACCUGAAGAAUAAGCACCGGCUAACUACGUGCCAGCAGCCGCCGUAAUAC